rnacentral:rRNA from 1 species
UACGUAGGGUGCGAGCGUUAAUCGGAAUUACUGGGCGUAAAGCGUGCGCAGGCGGUUUGCUAAGACCGAUGUGAAAUCCCCGGGCUCAACCUGGGAACUGCAUUCGAAACUGGCAGGCUAGAGUCUUGUAGAGGGGGGUAGAAUUCCAGGUGUAGCGGUGAAAUGCGUAGAGAUCCGGAAGAACACCAAAGGCGAAGGCACCAUCCUGGGGAGUCACUGACGCUCGGGUGCGAAAGCUAGGGGAGCGAACGGG